CGCACUGAAUCCCAAGAGGACUAAGUUGGAUUCGAAGUGCAAGCGAUAUGUAUUUGUCGGUUAUUGUAAUGAGACAAAGGGGUACAGACUUUUAGACCCAGCAGACCCGACAAAAGUUGUAAAGGCCAGAGAUGUUACAUUUUUGGAGUAUGAAAUUGUACAUAAAAUGUCACAUGAUGAUAAUUUAUCUCAGAACACAAAAUGUGUUGAAUUCCUAUCUAUUCCACGUUCUGUACAGACAGAAACAUCUAUUGUGGAUACUGAUUUAUCUGAUGACAUAGAUUUAGCGCCAACAACACAGAUUACACAGCGCCACGUCGCAGAUAGACACAGUACAAUCACAAUAGAUGAUUCUGCGAGCUCAUCAGAGCCCGAUGAUCCGGCGGAUGAAACUUAUAUUCCAGAGGAGAGUGAAGAAAGCACUACUGGAACUUCAGAGCUUGAAGAAUACAGUGACACAUUGGAUGCUAUGUGUGCCGCCAUGGUAAAGACGUCCUCGGAUGCUGACAACCCGCAGACUGUACAGGAAGCACUGGGAGGGCCAGAUGCUGAACACUGGAAGAAAGCAAUGUCUUAAAGGUGGCCUUGAGGUCUCCGCCUAUGCUGAUGCAGACUGGGCGAAUGAUGAGGGAGAUCGGCGUUCGUAUACUGGUUUUGUUUUCAAGUUGGGUAA